rnacentral:rRNA from 1 species
AGUUUGAUCUUGGCUCAGGAUGAACGCUGGCGGCGUGCCUAAUACAUGCAAGUCGAGCGAACAGACGAGGAGCUUGCUCCUCUGACGUUAGCGGCGGACGGGUGAGUAACACGUGGAUAACCUACCUAUAAGACUGGGAUAACUUCGGGAAACCGGAGCUAAUACCGGAUAAUAUAUUGAACCGCAUGGUUCAAUAGUGAAAGACGGUUUUGCUGUCACUUAUAGAUGGAUCCGCGCCGCAUUAGCUAGUUGGUAAGGUAACGGCUUACCAAGGCAACGAUGCGUAGCCGACCUGAGAGGGUGAUCGGCCACACUGGAACUGAGACACGGUCCAGACUCCUACGGGAGGCAGCAGUAGGGAAUCUUCCGCAAUGGGCGAAAGCCUGACGGAGCAACGCCGCGUGAGUGAUGAAGGUCUUCGGAUCGUAAAACUCUGUUAUUAGGGAAGAACAAAUGUGUAAGUAACUAUGCACGUCUUGACGGUACCUAAUCAGAAAGCCACGGCUAACUACGUGCCAGCA